GUGUGAACAAAGAAGCCCAGAAAUGUUCCCCAACAACCCGCUGUGAACAGAAAUUCAUCAGUUUCAUUCCAACUGUGGGAGAAACCCCGAAGUGUGUGCGCGUGUGCUCGUGUGUGUGUGCGCGUGCGUGUGUGUGCGCGUGUGUGUGUGAUGAAUUAUUAGGGAUUUAGUUCCAUUGGCUCAGAGCCUUGACAGAUGCAAUUUAAAUCGUGCUGACAAUGCAUCAAAGUCACAUUCUUUGUGAGAUUCUUGUUUUCUUGAUUGUGUUGAUAUUUUCGGUGAUAAAUAUUCACCGCUGUAGUCGUUCCUCCUGCACUUCUUUGACAAUCAAUUCACAGCACUGUCAACCGUUUUUUGUGUGAUUCUCAGAACGAACAGACUAAAUAAGUUGAUACAAGACGUACCAGUUUAAGUGCAAAUAACAGCAGAAUUUCAGCUCUUGUCUGAAAGACGCAACAUCUUCACAGAUGAAAAAUAAAUCUAUAAAAAUGACAUAAACGUGCCACUGAUAAUAAUGUCUUUAUCUCAGAGAAAUAUACACUGAGCAUGUUUAUGUCACAGUGUUAAACAGACUUGAAGUUGAGUAAAAGAAAGCAGCAACCAUCAUCUUCAGUAUCGUUUUUUUAAUCUAUAACUGUUUGUCAAGGAAUACAGUUUCAUUUGGUAUAUACUUGUGUCACAGUGAGAGAGACAGCCAGGAAAGGCAGAGAAGAGACGAGCAGCAAAAGGGCCGCAUUAAGUACUCAACCUUAAGAGAAUUAACCUUUUUCUUUUACAUGAUUUCAAGAAAAUGGAACAACAAUUUGAUAUGAUUUGUUCGUUUUCUGAAGCACACUCGCCAUAGUUGAAGAAAUUAGUUCCAGUUACUGAAUUAUGUGAAUGCCAAGUUAAAAAUGAGAGGAUUCAAUACUGGAAGAUUACUGACAAUGCUCUUAAAAUGACAGCAUUUAACAGAAGCAUCAUAUCAGAUCAUUCCUGUGUGCUUUCAGGAGCUAAAUCAAUUGUGCCAGACUCCUGAAGCAACAGCGGGUCGUUGCAGCAGGUGAAGAUGUGUGAUACAGAUCCAAGUUUAGCUUUCAUCCCUUAAAAUAAACCGUUAAGUGUAGAAUAGACAAGUGGAUCUAAGCAGCAUGUUUUUACCUUUCUAUCGCCAAUAUCCACAACAGGGUUUGUAUCUGUACGAAAAGUAGCUUUUAUUCUGAAUAAAGCCAAAUUCCAACAUUUGAAAAACCAGAAUGGAUACAUUCACGUCUCCAACAAAAAACAAGCGUCAUUGUAUAAAAUAGAAGCACACAGAUGUUCUUGGAAACAUUAAACAAUAAAUAAUGAAUGUUAUGUGUGUGCCUCCAUUUGAAAAAGUGUUGAUGUGCUCCUCAUUGUGUCCCAUAUUUCAGCCAUUGUUUUCAUAUCUCACCUGUUACAUAAUUAGCCACAUGAGCAAAUGCAGUCAGAUUAGAGGGAUGAUCUGUGACAGGUUACAUUCUCCAAGUGAAUACAAAAGCUGGGUUUUUAGUUUAUGUUGUGUCUGUCGCUUUAAAUUUGCAGCAUUUUUCCAACUUGCAACCCUCAGCUUAUCAUAUUACUGUUUUACUAAUGGUGUAAUGCUGAAAUCCUGGUGUGAUAAAGAUUAGACUUGCAGACAAAAUGCUUCUUUUCAUUUCUCGUCGGAACUCUUAUGACUAUUUUCCACAAAUCAACAAACUUCCUUCACGCUCUUUCCAGUAAAGAAAUGAUUCCAGGAUGAAACACAUUAGCUUCUUUAAAGUGCAGAUGAAUGAAUCCGAUGCUUUUGUGUCUUCACGCUCAGAGAGUAAUUCUUUGUAUGUUUGCAGCUUCAGCUGGUUCAAACACUGCAGCUCAUCUGCUAACAAAGGAAAAGCAGGAGCACAUUACUCCAACGUUGGCCUCUCUCCAUUAUCUACCCGUGGAGUUAAGAGUCAAAUAAAACUAAUUACCUAUUAAGUAAUGCAACUGGGUGAAGUACCCAGUGAAGUAGUUUGGGGUUUUGUCAAAGUGCAUUCACAGAUUUUGUGUCUACUGUUUGAAAUAAUCCUAAUCUCUUGUAUUAUUACUGCAUUGAAUAUAUUUGUCGUCUGAUCGGUAAUGCCUCACUCUCUGCUUGAAGUUUUUGUUUGUCCAUCUUUAUUACUUACUUAUUAUUUUAUUACUUACAUGAAUUUUCUUUUGCUUAAAUAGCAGCAACAACAACCAGCAUCUUUGGUUAUGAUUCUCAGAUCACAAUGUAAUGCUGAGUAAUAACCAUUAACCAACUAGUCACGAAAUGACUCAAUCGGCACAAAGACCCUUACUGACCCUUUGAGCGUUUUCCCUCCAAGUUUAAUUUCCACUCAAAGUACCAGGAGAGACUUCCAGAGUUCCCUCCCUUAAUACAAUUUGUGAUGAGAGCAGCUGAUCUCAUGUACACGGAGUCUGUGACCUGACCUAGUUCACGGUGGCAUUGUGUUUUUAAAGCUGGAACCCAUGUGAUCUCGAAUGAUCCAUUUGUUGUCUUUCCUUCUGUCCCCAUAGACAAUCUACGAUGACACUGAGGGGGGGCGCGAGUGUGUAUUCCUUCAAACAUCUGUUUUCCUGCUCACGUUCCUUCUGAUUGGACAACGGGGACAUCUCUGAUGUGUGAUAAAGCUCCUUACUGCAAGAAGCAUUGUCAGACCUUCUUGCUCCUCACAGGAGUCGGAAGCUCUGUUAUCAGUGAUGUGUGCGGGACAGAAGCCAAUCAAUAGCACAUUAGCAUGUGAUCUGCUCCUGUGGCAUUCAUUAUUGCUUAGCCCACUGGUCUGCAUCAUUUGGAUGUACUGUAGGUACUGUGAAAUGUACGUUUUGAGAGGGAGAAGAGUAAUGAUAACCCCAGGAGGUCAUAAAUCCAUAUCUGACUUGCAUCCACGUCAUAUUACAGCUGCGGAGAAAUCCACUCAGUCGGAGAAGUUGAAGUACAUAGAUAGGAGUUAUGUUUCGGAUGCCUUCCUCACUUUAGUUUAAAUAGCCCUGAAUGGCAAACAGCCCCUUGGGUUUGAUUGCAGCCACAUCAGAGAGGAGCAGAAGAGACAUUGACAGGGAGGAGCUGUGGAGUGCUGCUGCAUCAAUAAGCCAUUGAACGGGGGCCAGGUCUACAGCUGGAGCUUAAUAGACAGUUCCUGUACAAAAGACCUACAUCAGGGAACAGCAGACGCGAUAAAGAGUGUCCCAAAGGAAAACAAUAUUUUCUUUCCUUUGGUCCAUUUGUACGUCACAAUGCAUCCCUCUUGUCCCUUCAGAGGUGAACUCAUCAGGGGUAAACCGACACUCAGACGGAAGGAGGAGGAAGAGCCAACUUGCCAAAGCUCUCAAACAAGAGCGGAUGAAGUGGAGAGGACUGGGAGGCUGAGAAAGGGCGGAGUGGCUCCUUUGUUAAAAUGACAAGGAGGAAGGGGACCGAGAGAGAAAUGAGUCAGAUUCCCCGACAGCUGUCACUGUGUCUUACUGAUGCAGCCAGCUUGCAUCCAUCAGCCGUGGAAGGGAGGAGCCGGGGUGAAGCAUGGUCUGGUUACUGUUUGAUUAGCCAAAGAAUUCAGAGAUGCGUCUCAUGAUUAACUCCCCGAGUCAUAAGAAACAGCAUUUUUUAAAUGUUUUUCUAUCAGGGUUAAAGAUGCUGUCUCACAGUCCGUAACCAUUAAACCAUAAUUUCAUCAUUUGCCACCGGGCUUUGAUCUCACAGUAACUGAAUAGGUUCAAAACACUGAACAGAAGCUCUGCCACACUGAAACCCAUGAAAGAAACAUAACAGGAACGCGAUAACACAGCGAUGUUGCAGAUACUGUAUGCAGGGGAGGGACUCAAUGUACCGACCCUGGACUGUCUCAACUACAGAUUAACAUAAUCCACCUUUCAAAUCAGAUAGUUUCACAGGUGUUUAUUGUGAAGGCCUAAAGCACUUUUAUAUUAAUUACUCAUUGAGCACUCCUGCAGGAUGGGAGAUGAAUAAAUAAAUACUGUAGUCACCAUGAAAACACUUCAUAUGAACCAGUCUUGAAUAGAGGAAUACAAAGCAAGUUUAAAAAUAAGAUAAGAGUAUAAUCUGUGUCUGUUUAUAUGCUGCGGUGAUUCCUGUUCCAGUAUUGUACUGUAUUCCUCAUUUUUUACUAACUUUGAAAAGUUGUUUUGUUGUUGCGGUUCAAGAGGGAGUGAAAGCUAUUUGUCAUCUGCCUGUUGGUGUAAAGUGCAUGAACAGAUAUGCGUGGCUUCUCUCCAGGAGGGCCAACUGCUUUCUGCUCGCUGUCGUUCAUCAAAAGCUCAGAGGCUCGGUGGGAGCAGUCAUUUGGAAUUUCCGACUUCAGGUUAUUUAGUGCUUAUUAGCAGCAUUACACAGCAGUAAGGUGACAAGUGACAUCCGGGGGCCACUCACAGAGCGCCCUCUCAUGCACUCAUUAAGUGUAAAGAGCUCGAGGAACACAGAUAUCUAGACACCUCCUAUAACAAGGGCGACUACCCCUCAUCGGCGCCGACUUAGAGCGCAAAGUUAAAAAGGUUACCCGAGGCUGCCGGAAGUAGUUAAUCCUUUCAGUCUUUUCAACUCUGUCAAGCCCCUGCAUCGUUUUCAUGUCCUGAACUAUGCUGCUGUCACGAAAUUAUCGGAGAAUUAAAAGCUAAAAGUCACUUCAACGCAACGCCUUGAAGGGCAAAGCAGUACGAUUACACAGAGCGCAAAUUAACUUGUGCGCUCACUACCAAAAGGAAAGUAAAGGAAGCUAAAUAGCAAAGCUCUGCGUGUGUGUAUCCAGCCACUAAGCAAACAAAUACAGUUAUCUCUUUGGACAAAAAGAGAGGGAUCUGAAUAUUUAGGGGAGAUGUAGGACAAAUAAGAAGCUGCCAUUCAGAAAGGGCCCCAGAAGCGCUUUCUGACAUUUUAACGGUGAUCUACAUGAGUGACAUUUACAGAAUCAACCUCAGACUGCAGUCUGCAAUUCUCACUGGAAAACGCUUAAACCUCAGCUGACAUUAAGUCAACAACCACCCUGAAUCUGCUUCACAUCUGUCAAGAUAGAUAUUGAAAAAGCAGAGUAAUCAAAAGUGAAGAAACAGGGAUGUGUAAGAAAUUGCACAUGUUUGUAACAUUGAGCCAUUAGCAGAGGUUUAAGGAGAUCCUAUAGUGAAGCAGAACUCGACAGAAACAACGCAGCACACCUAAUAGAUCCACACAUUACUGACAAUAAUAGUUAUUUUCAUUGCAUUUUCUAACAUAUACUGUACAUAUAUACACAGUCUGAUCCAAAUAUAUAUAUAUAUAUAUAUAUAUAUAUACACACACAUACACACACAGUACUCAUGAGUGACCAAUGGCUCCGGUACCAGUGUGUCCCAAGAUGGCAUCACAGUGCUAAGCUGCUAGAAUUCAAUCAACUAAUGAAGGUCCAGGAUUUUGUUUAAAACAACUAGAUAAUGUAAUACGGUGGUGUUUGAAGGACAUCACAGGUAAAAGAGAGUACAGUAACAAAUGUGUGCUUGUGCAUCUGGUAAUGUGGCGGAGAAAGAGAUGGCCACAACAAGAUGUUAUUAUGUCUUUAAAUCCGUCUUUGUAUUGUCUUGUCGGAUGUUUCUUGUUCCAAACAUCCUGGAAGAAACGGGUUUUUUUUUUAAUAUUGUGUGCAUGCAUAUAUAUAUUAGUAGCCUGAGGGCCACUGAUGUUCUGUUGUACCUCUUGGGAGAUGCAACCACUUGUACUCACAAAUUCAUACUUUUUUAUAUACUCACUCACUCUGCUAACCCCCAUUACCCUUCUGUGCUGACACAGCGCUUCUACAGUGCAGGACAAGAAAAGGCUCUCCUGCUCCCAACAGCUGACAAAGACACUGCUCCCCAUCUCACACGUUUUCACUGAACUCCCUUAGUCGCUCAUUGCCCGCAUCUCUUACUUUACCAGAGCACAGCACUGCCCAUUAAGCAACAUAAGUAUUUCCUAAGAGCCCCCAUUGCUCUUUCAUUCAACUUAUUUUGCCAAAAUUUAGUGACCAAGACACUGUGAGACGUGCCAAAUGGAGGCCGUAAGGAUUAAGUCAUUUUCUGUCCCCUCAAAAGAGGUACAAAAGAGGAUUCUGUGUUAAAUAAAAGGAAUAAAUCAAAAUGUUCAGUUUUUUUAGAUACUUUUUGACAUAUCAAUAAAGUAUCAGCCAAAUGUUUUGACCUCAAGUGUCUGCAUGGUUGACGUAUUAUGGAAUUUACUGUGUCCAGGCAAUAGGAUUAUAUUGAGUUUUCUUUUUUGUUCUAUUCUUGCUCUGUAAAGUUCCUGACAGCUUCCAUCUGGUGAUGCAAGCAGCAUGAAAAAGUAUUCAACAACCCCUUUGAAAACAGAACAAUGAAAACAGUAAUAAAAGUUACCAAACAUAAGCAGCCAUUCGAUGUGCUGAGGACACUGCGGCAGGCACCUGAAUGCUCCUGGACUGGAUUACCAGAGUAUUUCCAGAGAUACUAUGUGGUGAAAGUCAAUUGUUUUUAUGGCUUUAUUUUUCAGAGGGCCUGGUGGGACAGGUUGUUCUAAGCUCACUGACAGUCUAAAUGCACGCUGGUAUUGAUUGUCCUUCCUCUGGCCUUUCACACAGUCUUGCUGAGGCCACAUUAAAAGCUUUAUAAGCCUUUUGUGGGCUACAGGCCUUGAAUCUCACCUGUCUUAACUUACAUUAUAUUGACACAUUGGGCUCUGACAAGGGCUUUUUUUCAUCAUGUAGCCUGCAGGUGUUUAUGAUCUUGCGACAGAGAGAUGGCUUGUGUGAGUGUGUUGGUUCAUGUGUCUAUGCACAGUACACACUCUCCGUACUGUGCUGAACCUGGGGAGCACGUGUCAGCGAAUGGCUGUGUUAAGUCAGACAUUGAAUCGGUGUGUGCUGGUAAGUGUGAUUGUGUGUGUGUGUUUGUGUGUGUGUACAGGGAGAAGGCUCGUCCUCAUGCUGCCCUGGGGGCUCAGAGCCCAUUUCCUGUUGUGCAGUGUGAUAAGUUUCCCUGUCAGAUCCUCCCAGCACCACCAUAUUUCUGAUAAGCUCUACUGCUAGUUUUUCCGACCUCUGGCACUGAGAUCAAUUUGAGAUUGAUUCAGAAUGCCCUGCUGGGCCGAGCUGGAAGAUCAAUUUGAGAUGGAUUGUUCACGCCAGGGGGCCAAUGACACGCAGCGCAGUGCUCACUUGCUUCCCCUUCUUUGCUUUCUUCACCCCUCACUCUCGCUAACUGUUUUUAUUUCUCUCUCUGAAUGUUUCUCUUCCAUCUCUUCCACUCUCCUUCAGCUGUUUGGCACUGUUCUGUUGUUUCUCUGAAUUACACCCUGCAUGUUUUUUCCAUCAGUCCUUAUUCAUGCUUCCUUCUCUACCUCUCUGACCAGCUUCCCUUCUGUCCUCCAACCGUCGAAAAGGCAGCAGUGGUAGAAAUGACUUCAUUAGCAGGGGGACCGACCCCUGUAGACUGAUAAGCCUGCAGGACAGGUGCGAUAACUCAUCCGGGUUUGUAACACAGCUAAAGAAAUACAUGCAUUUAAACCAACACACCAACAUAGAUUCAUUUUGUUGAAUUUCCUCAGUUACGCGAUCAUUUCUUCCAUCAACGCCUGGCAUUCCUCCACAGAGCAUCAGGUCUACAGCCUCCAUAUCACUCCCUUGCUCCUCGCUUCAACGGCCUCCCAUCAUUAGUUGUUUUAUGCUCCUUCAAAAAUGAUGUGGCAGUGGCCUUGAAACAGGAAGAUGCACUCUCCUCCCUUCUCUGCACGGAGUGACCUUUUCCUCAGCAGCACAUCCACCUCUGACUGCACUGACCUUUACCUACAGUACCCCCUCGUCGCCCAACCAAGGAAUGGAUUACAGGCACCAAAUUGUCUGUGCAUCCAACCAUGCAGAAAGAAAGAAAGGCGACAAAAAAAAGAUGGAAAGCUGGACAUAAAAAAGAAUGGCAGUGACAUUUUAAAUGCUGAAGUGGAAGGAGAACGUAUGGUUGCUUUAGUGAAUUUUCUUUUAGUGAAUUUUUGCCACAGCGGAAGCAUAAUAUUGCAUUAAUGAAACGCGUUGUUGCUAGUUGUUGCUAAUCACUUGCUCACUGUGGAUGGUGUGAAAGGGUUAAGUAUCCUUAAAUAAACUACAUAUAAAGUAUUUUUCCAACCAUAUCACUGCUACGUCACCUAUUGGUUCGUUAACUGCUAUUUGAAUGCGCUGUCUGAUUGAAGCAACAUGACGGGGGAGUUAAACUGAAAACACAAUAUGAAAAGGUUAAAGUUGUAAGAUGAAAACACAUCAUCACAUCACAAACCCAUCAAGUGAGAAACAGGCCAAUUGUUUUCAUAGACUUCUAUUCAAUAUAAAAUAUUCUCACAACGAGAGCACAAAGGAAAGAACUGUGCGUGUUUUGCCUUAAUUCGCUUCAUUGGUUGAUCAACUUUAAAAAAAUAAUAGCUGCAAUAAAUUCUUGUGAAGUAAGCAAACAGGGCAUCUGCUUAUGUCCUGUGAGGAAAUCAAUUGGGUGGCCUGCAGGAGGCUUUUUAUCUCCCAGUAUGUUUCCCUGCACAUAAUGCACCCGACCCCUUUUAUUAAAAAUAAAAUCUAUUACAGUCAUGUUUUAAAGAGAUAAUCAGGAUGUCAUGCAUACAGAUUUAGCUGUGGGUGGGUGUCAUAACAGCUGGCAGCCAGCUGCUGUGUUGUGACAAUGGGAAUAAUGUCACAGUCCAGCAAAGAAAUGUUGGCGCAUCAAAAACGGGUGAAUUUCAACAUUGCUUUCCUAACUGCUGAUUGCCGUCAUUUGCCCUUUGCGUUUUCACUGCUUCUGGUGGUUUGACAGAUGUCAGCCAGCUGAGCCCCAGGCGAGCCACACAUAAGAAAUCUGACAAAAUAAGUGUUGCAUAUGCAAUAUGCAGCUUUACGGUUCCAUUGUCAUUACUGCCACAAUGCUUCUGAAAAGGUUUUAAAGAAUGAUUCAGGAUUAUUGACAACAUUUUAUUGCCUCCACAGAGGUUAUGUUUUUAGUUAGGUUUGCCGGUUUGUUUGUCAGCUGGGUUUUUGAAAGACUGCAGGCCCAAUUUUCAUGAAAUUUAGUUUGUUCCUCUUGCCCCAUGAGCAAUAGCAAUAAACAUGGAGGAACAAUGAUACCCUAUAACAAUGAUUGGCAAAGUUGUAAUUAACCAAAAAUUGUAUUGUUAUUUGCUGGAGCCCCCUUAUGGCUCAUUUCCUGUCGCCUUAUUGUCCAUCUUUUUAAUAUCUGCCAUCAAAUUAGCCUUUGGGUUUUGUCACUCUCUGUAUCAAACGGAAUAGACAUCAUACCCCACUGCUCACGGCAACUUCAGACUUCAUAUCCUGCUGCCUCCACCGGCUCCUGCCCCUGUGUGUUUGAGGCAUUGCGGCAUUGUUUCCAUCCUGACCUAAAGUCCUCUAUUGUCAGGGUUGCGGGGUGGAAGGCAGGACUCAAACGCAGACUUGCAGAAAACCAAAAGACUUUAAUAGUCAAAGCUCAAAAAACAGGAACCGG
ensembl:lncRNA